rnacentral:rRNA from 1 species
GAAGAACGCUGGCGGCGUGCCUAAUACAUGCAAGUCGAGCGAACAGACGAGGAGCUUGCUCCUCUGACGUUAGCGGCGGACGGGUGAGUAACACGUGGAUAACCUACCUAUAAGACUGGGAUAACUUCGGGAAACCGGAGCUAAUACCGGAUAAUAUAUUGAACCGCAUGGUUCAAUAGUUAAAGACGGUUUUGCUGUCACUUAUAGAUGGAUCCGCGCCGCAUUAGCUAGUUGGUAAGGUAACGGCUUACCAAGGCGACGAUGCGUAGCCGACCUGAGAGGGUGAUCGGCCACACUGGAACUGAGACACGGUCCAGACUCCUACGGGAGGCAGCAGUAGGGAAUCUUCCGCAAUGGGCGAAAGCCUGACGGAGCAACGCCGCGUGAGUGAUGAAGGUCUUCGGAUCGUAAAACUCUGUUAUUAGGGAAGAACAAAUGUGUAAGUAACUAUGCACGUCUUGACGGUACCUAAUCAGAAAGCCACGGCUAACUACGUG